GACGAACGCUGGCGGCGUGCCUAAUACAUGCAAGUCGAACGAGUGGCGGACGGGUGAGUAAUGCUUGGGAAUCUAGCUUAUGGAGGGGGAUAACUACGGGAAACUGUAGCUAAUACCGCGUACCAUAGGAUGAGCCCAAGUGGGAUUAGGUAGUUGGUGGGGUACAGGCUCACCAAGCCGACGAUCUCUAGCUGGUCUGAGAGGAUGACCAGCCACACUGGGACUGAGACACGGCCCAGACUCCGACGGGAGGCAGCAGGGGGGAAUAUUGCGCAAUGGGGGCAACCUGACGCAGCCAUGCCGCGUGAAUGAAGAAGGCCUUCGGGUUGUAAAGUUCUUUCGGUAGCGAGGCGUUAACUACAGAAGAAGCACCGGCUAACUCCGUGCCAGCCGCCGCGGUAAUUC
rnacentral:rRNA from 1 species